rnacentral:misc_RNA from 1 species
UAUCGUUGAUUCGCUUUUC